UGAACGCUAGCUACAGGCUUAACACAUGCAAGUCGAGGGGCAUCAGGAAGAAAGCUUGCUUUCUUUGCUGGCGACCGGCGCACGGGUGAGUAACACGUAUCCAACCUGCCCUUUACUCGGGGAUAGCCUUUCGAAAGAAAGAUUAAUACCCGAUGGCAUAAUGAUUCCGCAUGGUUUCAUUAUUAAAGGAUUCCGGUAAAGGAUGGGGAUGCGUUCCAUUAGGUUGUUGGUGAGGUAACGGCCCACCAAGCCUUCGAUGGAUAGGGGUUCUGAGAGGAAGGUCCCCCACAUUGGAACUGAGACACGGUCCAAACUCCUACGGGAGGCAGCAGUGAGGAAUAUUGGUCAAUGGGCGGUAGCCUGAACCAGCCAAGUAGCGUGAAGGAUGAAGGCUCUAUGGGUCGUAAACUUCUUUUAUAUAAGAAUAAAGUGCAGUAUGUAUACUGUUUUGUAUGUAUUAUAUGAAUAAGGAUCGGCUAACUCCGUGCCAGCAGCCGCGGUAAUACGGAGGAUCCGAGCGUUAUCCGGAUUUAUUGGGUUUAAAGGGAGCGUAGGUGGACUGGUAAGUCAGUUGUGAAAGUUUGCGGCUCAACCGUAAAAUUGCAGUUGAUACUGUCAGUCUUGAGUACAGUAGAGGUGGGCGGAAUUCGUGGUGUAGCGGUGAAAUGCUUAGAUAUCACGAAGAACUCCGAUUGCGAAGGCAGCUCACUGGACUGCAACUGACACUGAUGCUCGAAAGUGUGGGUAUCAAACAGG
rnacentral:rRNA from 1 species